ACAAUUCUCCACAAAAUGCCCGUAGCUAGCUAAAAACACGAGAUUUAACCAUGUCAAAUGAUUGUUUUAGCAACCCAUGUCUACCAGUGAGGACUAGCUGUAAGUAAGCUAAUGUUAGUUAUAUAUUAGCAAGCUAAUGCAAUUGCGAACAUAAUACUAUAGCUUUUUCAUUUGUCCACAUUCCACUAUAACACAAGUGUCAUACUGUGUACAAAAUGCAGCUUUAGCUUAACUUAUAGACUUGUCACCUGUUUAUGUUUAAGACAUCAUGACACCCAUGCUCCAACCUCAACCUUCAGCCGUCUUGCCAUCAUGAACCAGGCAGCCUUUUUGACUCAGACUGAAGGACAGCUAUUGAAUCAACACAGCAUACCACUGUCUGGGCUUACUUCCUCCACCCACUGUAGGCCUGUGAUGAUUUAAACUGACAGCUGAUCAGAUCUGACUGACUCCUUGGGCCCAUGAAGAGGCUGGGUGGCCCCUCAUUAAGCACAUUCUGGAUUACAGCUCCUGGCCAAGGCUAUUUCCAACAACAUGCUAGUGCAUUGUAAUGAGCCUCUUUGUGUGCUGCGCAAACACACUCAAUCUCCCACUUUAAUCACCGAGGAGGAGAUAGGCUACUCCUCCAGCCCUCAACAGAAGCAGUGAGAGGAAAGUGGGAUUUGCAAGUUCCUCCAUCCUCUGAUGACAUAUAAUCUCCUUGGCGAGAUGAGUGUUCUGUCACAAAGCUCUGAUUGACAUGUUUAGCAUGAUGGAGGGAGUCUAUCUGUCUAUCUGUCUGGUCAUUCUGUUGGCCGUGUAGCUGCAGAUCAUCUGUAUGUCAAACAGCUUAGAGGGAGAUUCAGGACAUCGUGGGCAGUUCAUGUGGUGUGUCGUCUUCUGCAUGUACAGCUUGAUUAUAUUUAUGGCAUUACAUUCAGAGCAUACUGUAGAAUUUCUCUACUCAAAAAAUGACAUUAAUGAUUUUUAGUAUUAGUUAACUU